AACAGAGUGGGUGUUUUCCAAACAGACAUUCAUUUCUCUGCCAGAGAACCGAAACAGAAUGUCCCAACAGGGCGGGGGGAAGGCCCAGGACGAAAACUGCUGGCCAGGAUAUCCGUGGGGAGCAUCUUAUGAAGGUCACUGCUGGCUCCGGUCAAAUCAAAGGUUCAUGUUGAGGACCAGCCAGGCCUUGGUCCCUGGGAAGUGUGAUGGAGUCCUAGCUUGCCGCAUAGGGGCGUAGCCAUAAGCCUGCCAGUGUAGCGGGAGGCUGACUCGCAGGGCCUGGACAUCCCAUUUAUGUCAUAACACGGCCCAAAGACCCAGAUGCUGUGUCCGAGAAGGUCACUCUGCCUCGCUUCCUACUCCUCAGGAAAGAUGACAGGUUAUGGAAGAUAAUGGCUUUUCUUCCUGAUUUGAUCCUGGGUCAAAAACAUAUGGCACAGGCCACACUGGCCCUCAGCUACCUGGCUUCAAGUCACCAUCGUUAUCUCCUGCCUCCACGGCUCAUUGUCAAUAAAUACAUAUACAGACCAUCUCAAUAAACAAACUUGAUUUGGAUUUUCAACUUCAAAAAAUUCAUUUUCAAGAGCAGGACUAGGUCAGCCGUGCGGAAAGCCCCCGCUGACACUGACACAAAUACGGAAAGGAGGAUUAGGGUUGAAGUGAAGCAGUUUUUCUGGAGCCAGAAUAUUCUGGUUGCACACACAUGUGUGGAUGAAGGGCACAGUGUCUGGGAAGAGCCUGAGAAUAUGUUCUGAAGAUUUGCGACCUUGGGUGAUUGAAAGACAAAAAAGUAUCUGGCCAGACCUGAUUUACCGCCAUUUACUGGGCAAUUGGUCAGUGACACAGAAAAGAGUGUCACGGGGUUAGAGGACACAGAAGAAGCCAGCUUUGCUGAGUCUAUAGACCCCUGCUCUUGCAGUCUCCACCCCUACCAACCGUCCCUCCGGCUCUCACUCCACCUCUGGCCCCGAGUGGACAGCAAUGCUGGUUCCACCCACAAGUGUUCAGAAUGGUGGGCUGUCCUCCAGAUUAACCAUGAAAGGGAAUGCAAAGCCCCAAGCUCGGACUACUGAGUUCCCGCACAGACCUGUGAUUCCUGUCUCUAACUACCAGUCCCUCGUCCCUCCUCAUUUUCCAGCUCUCUGGGCCUCAGACAAGGUUGUUCACCUGUAAACCCCACAGAGCUGAACAGACCAUUUACCUUGAACUUUGAGAAGAG